rnacentral:pre_miRNA from 1 species
AUACUUGUCCUAGAAAUAGAUGUAUCUAGACUUAUNUUAGUUAUAGAUACAUCCAUUUUGUACAUUUCUAGGACAAGUAUUUCCGGACGGAGGGAGUAUUAG